AACGAACGCUGGCGGCAUGCCUAACACAUGCAAGUCGAACGAGACCUUCGGGUCUAGUGGCGCACGGGUGCGUAACGCGUGGGAACCUGCCCUUAGGUUCGGAAUAACUCCCCGAAAGGGGUGCUAAUACCGGAUAAUGUCUUCGGACCAAAGAUUUAUCGCCUUUGGAUGGGCCCGCGUUGGAUUAGCUAGUUGGUAGGGUAAAAGCCUACCAAGGCGACGAUCCAUAGCUGGUCUGAGAGGAUGAUCAGCCACACUGGGACUGAGACGCGGCCCAGACUCCUACGGGAGGCAGCAGUGGGGAAUAUUGGAAAAUGGGCGAAAGCAUGAACCAGCAAGGCCGCGUGAGUGAUGAAGGCCUUAGGGUUGUAAAGCUCUUUUACCCGGGAUGAUAAUGACAGUACCGGGAGAAUAAGCUCCGGCUAACUCCGUG
rnacentral:rRNA from 1 species